UGGGGAAUUUUGGACAAUGGGCGAAAGCCUGAUCCAGCAAUGCCGCGUGUGUGAAGAAGGCCUUCGGGUUGUAAAGCACUUUUGUCCGGAAAGAAAUCCUUGGCUCUAAUACAGUCGGGGGAUGACGGUACCGGAAGAAUAAGCACCGGCUAACUACGUGCCAGCAGCCGCGGUAAUACGUAGGGUGCAAGCGUUAAUCGGAAUUACUGGGCGUAAAGCGUGCGCAGGCGGUUUGCUAAGACCGAUGUGAAAUCCCCGGGCUCAACCUGGGAACUGCAUUGGUGACUGGCAGGCUAGAGUAUGGCAGAGGGGGGUAGAAUUCCACGUGUAGCAGUGAAAUGCGUAGAGAUGUGGAGGAAUACCGAUGGCGAAGGCAGCCCCCUGGGCCAAUACUGACGCUCAUGCACGAAAGCGUGGGGAGCAAACAGGAUUCAGAUACCCUGGUAGUCCACGCCCUAAACGAUGUCAACUAGUUGUUGGGGAUUCAUUUCCUUAGUAACGUAGCUAACGCGUGAAGUUGACCGCCUGGGGAGUACGGUCGCAAGAUUAAAACUCAAAGGAAUUG
rnacentral:rRNA from 1 species